rnacentral:rRNA from 1 species
UACGUAGGGGGCAAGCGUUAUCCGGAUUUACUGGGUGUAAAGGGAGCGUAGGCGGCAGGGCAAGCCUGAUGUGAAAGCCCGGGGCUCAACCCCGGGACUGCAUUGGGAACUGCCCCGCUCGAGUGCCGGAGGGGCAGGCGGAAUUCCUAGUGUAGCGGUGAAAUGCGUAGAGAUCGGGAGGAACACCAGUGGCGAAGGCGGCCUACUGGGCUUUAACUGACGCUGAGGCACGAAAGCGUGGGUAUCGAACAGG